UACGUAUGGGGCGAGCGUUGUCCGGAUUUACUGGGCGUAAAGAGCGCGCAGGCGGUCGUUCAAGUCGCGUGUGAAAGCCCCCGGCUCAACUGGGGAGGGUCACGCGAUACUGAUCGACUCGAAGGCAGGAGAGGGAAGUGGAAUUCCCGGUGUAGUGGUGAAAUGCGUAGAUAUCGGGAGGAACACCAGUGGCGAAGGCGACUUCCUGGGCUGUUCUUGACGCUGAGGCGCGAAAGCUAGGGGAGCAAACGGG
rnacentral:rRNA from 1 species